CAUUCAUUUGCGGACACGUUCAAUACAAGUACAAUUCUUAACCCUCUCUACUUUCUCUCUCUAGAACAUUAUCUCAUUCGCUGACUUAGGCAUCGGAGGGGGUUUCCUCGGUUAAACCCCCGAGGUUAGCUUACGUUCGUUCUGUCUGACAGGGCAGCAUCACCAGGCAGGGCUCCCCCAGUUCCACACCCGGAACAGUCUUCUUUUCCGGGCCUUGUAAUCAUGUUUGGUUUAUUCAUCCUUAAUGAAGAUGCAGUUCUGAUCAGUUAUGACUUAUGAUCAGUUUGGUUCUGAUCAGUUAAGUUCUGAUCAGAUUAGAGCAUAUUUAUUUAACGUAUCUUAAUUUGGCUGCUCAUUUUUUCAUUCAUAUGCAAAGUUUCCUUCAUUAUUUGGCACCUUAUAUAUUGGGUUGAUAGGUAAAGUUCUAUAAAAUUGAAAUUUGAUGACAGAAAAAUUUAGCUGACUUACAUGUACUAUGGAUAUUUCUAGUAUUUCAACUUACUAACCCUACGAAUGAUCUCCCAUCUGCCAUUACCCUAGUUUGUCACGUUAUAAGCAGGGCCUUGAAUCCUCUGCUAUUUACGAUGUAUUUGACCUCCCCCCGUUCUUUACGAUGUAUUUGACAUUCAGGUUUUUGUAAAUCAACAUCUUAUAUUAAUGAAAAAUUUUCCUUCUUUAUUUUUUUUAACUUCCAGUGUUAGUAAUGUAAACCUAUUAGCAGUGUAGAACUUUGUGAAUAUUCUAACUUGUUUAUGCAAGUCUGAAGCUGCUGUGUUACGUGAGAAAAUAUGCAUGUUGCUGAUAAGCCUUUGUGUUUUUUAAGCUUUUACAUUGCUGUAUGAAAUGUGAUUAAUUUAUCUUUUUCCUUAACUGAUUAGGAAGUUUCCACCCAAAGGAUUUUUCAAAGUCAGAGGUUUGCCUAUAUUCUUAAUUUUCAGUUCUUCUGUAACAUAAACACCUGCAGAAUGUACAGCUAAAAGAUGGCUCUCACAUAUUUUAGCUUUGUUACUUCAGACAGGGCAGAGGAACUAGCACCCUGCUUGAUGAUAAGAAAUACGUUUUAUCAGAACAAUGUGAUCCAAGUGCUAUAAAGGUCUCUCAAAUCUGUUGGUUAUUCAUAUGGAACACAAAAACCUUUGCUUGCAAGGACAGCUGAAUGCUGAUGUUCAAUUGUGGAUCUUUUAUUCUUUUAGAAAUUAAACCUUCUAUAUGUUUGUUGAUUGUCCAUCCUCUUGAUAUAUACAGGAGCAUUUACUGAAGCUUGGCGCAGAACAUCGAGCAAAAGUGGCUGAAAAAAGAGGGAAGCCCCCCUUCUUCUAGGAAAGAUUACUUGGAGAUAGGUAAUGCUUAUGGUGUACUACGUGGAGGUGCUUAUUCCAAUGAUGUACUACCAAGAACAUCAGGUCUUGGUGGUGGAGAAGUAAGCAAUAAAAAUUCUGAUUUGGCUGGAGAAUCACAUCAGAAACAUGGGGUAAAAGAGUUGCCGGAGUACCUUAAGCAGUAGCUGGGAGCAAGAGGAAUUUUCAACAAUGAGCCUACAAAAGAUGAUUUUGCUGCAAACGAUUCUGUAAGUUUCAGCGCUUGUUGUCUGUUACUAGCAGAGAAGAGGUCAGAGUUGGUUAAUGUUGAACCUCAGAGUAGUGUAAUAGGAUUUUAGUUCCCUAAAAAUACUAAUACUAAGGUCUUUGUUUUCAUUAAAUAAUCAUAAUCAGUAAAAGUAUGUUUCAAUCUGUAAACGUAGUUCCAAUCCAUCAAAAUUAAAUUUUAAUAUGUAUGUUGGACAGCCUGACAUAGUUGCACCAGA